GACGAACGCUGGCGGCGUGCCUAAUACAUGCAAGUUGAGCGCUGAAGGUUGGUACUUGUACCGACUGGAUGAGCAGCGAACGGGUGAGUAACGCGUGGGGAAUCUGCCUUUGAGCGGGGGACAACAUUUGGAAACGAAUGCUAAUACCGCAUAAAAACUUUAAACACAAGUUUUAAGUUUGAAAGAUGCAAUUGCAUCACUCAAAGAUGAUCCCGCGUUGUAUUAGCUAGUUGGUGAGGUAAAGGCUCACCAAGGCGAUGAUACAUAGCCGACCUGAGAGGGUGAUCGGCCACAGUGGGACUGGGACACGGCCCAAACUCCUACGGGAGGCAGCAGUAGGGAAUCUUCGGCAAUGGACGAAAGUCUGACCGAGCAACGCCGCGUGAGUGAAGAAGGUUUUCGGAUCGUAAAACUCUGUUGGUAGAGAAGAACGUUGGUGAGAGUGGAAAGCUCAUCAAGUGACGGUAACUACCCAGAAAGGGACGGCUAACUACGUG
rnacentral:rRNA from 1 species